ACGAAGGUGGCAAGCGUUGUUCGGAUUUACUGGGCGUACAGGGAGCGUAGGCGGUUGGGUGAGCCCUCCGUGAAAUCUCCGGGCCUAACCUGGAAAGUGCAGAGGGGACUGUUCAGCUAGAGGAUGGGAGAGGAGCGCGGAAUUCCCGGUGUAGCGGUGAAAUGCGUAGAGAUCGGGAGGAAGGCCGGUGGCGAAGGCGGCAUCCUGGACCAACACUGACGCUGAGGAGCGAAAGCCAGGGGAGCAAACGGGA
rnacentral:rRNA from 1 species